AUUGAACGCUGGCGGCAUGCCUUACACAUGCAAGUCGAGCGGUAGCGGGCCUUCGGGUGCCGACGAGUGGCGAACGGGUGAGUAAUGUACCGGAACGUACCUUUCAGUGGGGGAUAACGUAGCGAAAGUUACGCUAAUACCGCAUAUUCUGUGCGCAGGAAAGCAGGGGAUCGCAAGACCUUGUGCUGAUUGAGCGGCCGAUAUCAGAUUAGCUAGUUGGUGAGGUAAAGGCUCACCAAGGCGACGAUCUGUAGCGGGUCUGAGAGGAUGAUCCGCCACACUGGAACUGAGACACGGUCCAGACUCCUACGGGAGGCAGCAGUGGGGAAUUUUGGACAAUGGGGGCAACCCUGAUCCAGCCAUGCCGCGUGAGUGAAGAAGGCCUUCGGGUUGUAAGGCUCUUUCGGCCGGGAAGAAAUCGUAUCAGCUAAUACCUGGUGCGGAUGACGGUACCGGCAUAAGAAGCACCGGCUAACUACGUGCCAGCCGCCGCCGUAAGAC
rnacentral:rRNA from 1 species